AGAGUUUGAUUCUGGCUCAGGAUGAACGCUAGCGACAGGCUUAACACAUGCAAGUCGAGGGGCAGCGGGGGAGUAGCAAUACUCCCGCCGGCGACCGGCGCACGGGUGAGUAACACGUAUGAAACCUGCCCGUAGCAGGGGGAUAAGCGGAAGAAAUUCCGUCUAAUACCGCGUAACAACCCUUGGAGGCAUCUCCUCGGGUUUAAAGGAAGCGAUUCCGGCUACGGAUGGUCAUGCGUCGCAUUAGCUUGUUGGCGGGGUAACGGCCCACCAAGGCGACGAUGCGUAGGGGUUCUGAGAGGAAGGUCCCCCACACUGGUACUGAGACACGGACCAGACUCCUACGGGAGGCAGCAGUGAGGAAUAUUGGUCAAUGGCCGCAGGGCUGAACCAGCCAAGUCGCGUGAGGGAUGACGGUCCUGUGGAUUGUAAACCUCUUUUGUCAGGGAGCAAAGGGCGUCACGUGUGGCGCUUUGCGAGUACCUGAAGAAAAAGCAUCGGCUAACUCCGUGCCAGCAGCCGCGGUAAUACGGAGGAUGCGAGCGUUAUCCGGAUUUAUUGGGUUUAAAGGGUGCGCAGGCGGAAUGUCAAGUC
rnacentral:rRNA from 1 species